rnacentral:tRNA from 1 species
GGGUGAUUAGCGCAGCUGGGAGAGCACCUCCUUACAAGGAGGGGGUCGGCGGUUCGAUCCCGUCAUCACCCACCA